AAGAAAACAACAAUUAUGCUCGUUUCAAAAAUAAUAAAUGCAACAAUUAACAGCUCAACACCAAUCAAAUACCGCGAAAAAUACUCUGGGGUCUCACUUUAGAUGGCAGUAGGUUUUCCUCGGGGUCCAAUGGAUGCUGGAUCAUAGACGACUAAUACAACAAAUCAAUCAACACCUCCCGUUCAGCAUUAAACAAUAAUAAAAAAAAAACUGCGAAAAAGACACUAUGGAGUUGUUCCCACAGCUGGCAGGAGGUCGUCCUUGGAGUCUAACGGAUGUACAAUAGGAUACACGGUCAAACACGUGCGAUAAAACACUACACUAUAUUUUGAUACUAAUAAUUAUAUAUUUUUAUACCAAAAACAAA